rnacentral:lncRNA from 1 species
UUCUCGAAUUUCAACACCCCCGGACUUACGACGACUGGGACGCUCAGUCGCCUUUCCUUUGCCUUUAUCCACGGCUUUUCCUUUUCCUUUGCCUUUCCCAGUAUCCUUAUCCUUAGCCAAUACCUCGGGAACAAAAGCCUCCCAAUCCGGUUCAGCCUCCUCAGAUUCGUCACCAGGAGCAUAUUCGCUCUCUUCAUCUUCCGAUUGAUACUCAACCGGCCG